rnacentral:misc_RNA from 1 species
GAAAUGCGAUAAGUAAUGUGAAUUGCAGAAUUCAGUGAAUCAUCGAAUCUUUGAACGCACAUUGCGCCCGCCAGUAUUCUGGCGGGCAUGCCUGUCCGAGCGUCAUUUCAACCAUCAAGCCCCCGGGCUUGUGUUGGGGACCUGCGGCUGCCCGCAGGCCCUGAAAACCAGUGGCGGGCUCGCUGUCACACCGAGCGUAGUAGCAACCACCUCGCUCAGGGCGUGCUGCGGGUUCCGGCCGUUAAACAGCCUUACAAAACCCAAGGUUGACCUCGGAACAGUUAGGAAGACCCGCUGAACUUAGC